ensembl:miRNA MIR345-1 microRNA mir-345-1
CCCAAACCCAGGUCUGCUGACUCCUAGUCCAGUGCUUGUGAUGGCUGGUGGGCCCUGAACUAGGGGUCUGGAGGCCUGGGUUUG